GACGAACGCUGGCGGCGUGCUUAACACAUGCAAGUCGAACGGAAAGGCCCUGCUUUUGUGGGGUUCUCGAUUGGCGAACGGGUGAGUAACACGUGAGUAACCUGCCCUUGACUUUGGGAUAACUUCAGGAAACUGGGGCUAAUACCGGAUAGGAGCUCCUGCUGCAUGGUGGGGGUUGGAAAGUUUCGGCGGUUGGGGAUGGACUCGCGGCUUAUCAGCUUGUUGGUGGGGUAGUGGCUUACCAAGGCUUUGACGGGUAGCCGGCCUGAGAGGGUGACCGGCGACAUUGGGACUGCGAUACGGCCCAGAAUCCUACGGGAGGCAGCAGUGGGGAAUAUUGCACAAUGGGCGGAAGCCUGAUGCAGCAACGCCGCGUGCGGGAUGACGGCCUUCGGGUUGUAAACCGAUUUCGACUGUGACGAAGCGUGAGUGACGGUAAUGGGUAAAGAAGCACCGGCUAACUACGUG
rnacentral:rRNA from 1 species